CUGCAAUGCCCACCACACCCUCUGCCGGCCACCCUUGCCUAUCAGUCUGGUGCCGAGAUUUGGGGGACAGAUACUCAAAGGUCGCGAUCUCACGGUUCGUCAGCUGAAGCCCGGCAUCAGGCUCUGUGCUGACACGGGAGCCUGCUUGGGAUUCUCUCCCUCUCUCUGUCCCUCCCCUGCUCACACUGUCUCUGUGUCUCUCUAAAUAAAUAAACAAACGAACUUUAAAAAAUCAA